rnacentral:tRNA from 1 species
GCCGGGGUGGCGGAGUGGUUAUCGCGCUGGUCUUGAAAACCAGUGAGCUUGUGCUCUCAGGGGUUCGAAUCCCUUCCCCGGCG